UAGUUUAGCGAGACUAGACUAACGGAGAAAACCGACGCCAUUGUGAACGCAACGUUGCGAAAUUUUAUUGUCAAAUUUUAUUUAGUAAAAACUUCAUAAUGCCACCAACAGACAAUAGAAUAUAUGUUGGUAAUCUUCCUCCAGACAUUAGAGCCCGUGAUAUUGAAGACUUGUUUUAUAAAUUUGGCAAAAUCACUUUUGUUGACCUCAAAACUCGUAGGGGGCCGCCUUUUGCAUUUGUUGAAUUUGAAGAUCAUAGGGAUGCAGUUGAUGCUGUUAGAGACAGAGACGGAUACAACUAUGAUGGUUACACCCUUAGAGUAGAGUUUCCGCGUGGCUCCGGCCCAGGAGGUCCAGGUGGAGAUCGUGACUAUGGUGGCGGCGGCGGUGGUGGUGGUGGUGGUGGUGGAUUCAGAGGAGGACGAGGUGGAUAUGGUGGUGGAGGCUUUGGUGGUAGAGGUGGAGGCGGGGGCAGAGGUGGUCCGCCAUCACGUAGAUCAGAGUAUAGAGUGCUAGUUUCAGGUUUACCUCCUACUGGUAGUUGGCAGGACUUGAAGGAUCACAUGCGUGAGGCAGGAGAUGUUUGUUAUGCUGAUGUUUAUAAAGAUGGCACUGGUGUUUGUGAGUUCCUGCGCAAAGACGACAUGAAGUAUGCAUGCAGAAAACUUGAUGAUUCAAAAUUUAGAUCACACGAGGGUGAAACAUCAUAUAUCAGGGUAAAAGAAGACUCUGGGGGUCGUUACAGUUACCAGUCAAGGUCACGAAGCAGAAGCAUGUCUCCUCCGAGAAGAUCGCGGGGCUCACCACGAUACUCGCCUAUGAGAUCCCGCUCACGAUCUCCAUACUAAUUCUUUAAUCAAAACAUAACAUCCUCAUUACACAUUUCAUACAGUUUUGAAAUAUACAUAUUUUCAUUCAUUCACGGACACAUUUUUUUUCUCAUAAUGACAUUAUAAUUCGACAUGGCAUCUUACCAAUUAACAGUGUCUAGUUUGACCAUUUGAAAAAGGAAUGAUCUUUUCUCACAAGACUAAAAUACUUCUGUUUCUGUCAGGAAACAUAAUAAAUGAAUCUUAGAAAUCAGUUUAAGAGUUUUAUGUAAACUCUCCAUUGCAAAUUUCAACAUUACAUUUGGGACACAUUUUGAAGAGAAAGAUGUCAUGGUGUAACAUAUUUACAUGUGAAGUGACAAUUAAGAAAUAACAUAAUUUUCAUUUUCCUCCAUUUUCAGAGGAUCUGAUUAAAGAUUUAGUGUGAGCUAUAUAGGUCAAAGGCCAGAUAGAGCUUCAAUGAGAUGUGAACUGAAAUAGACAGGAGUGAAUUUAUCGGGCUCUUGGAUUCAGGAUAAGGAUCCGUUCAGGAGCCAGCUCACUAGGAAAGGAGCUAAUAGGAAUUAGGGAGCUAAGGUUCGGCCUGCUUUAGGAAGGAUAGAGGGAGCUAGGAUCCAUCUGGAUUAGGAUUAUUUUUCAAUGAUUUUUCUCCCCCUCCCGUAAGGCCUGGAUUAGAGAUUUUUGCAGUCCUCUAAGGAGCCGAGCCUUUGGAUUUGGAAUAUUCUUACGUUUAUCUUGAAAAUUCAAUUUGCUGAUUUGAAAGUAAUUCUUCUGAAAUAACUUCAGUAGUUUUAAGUUUGUUUACAUUUGAAAAAAAUCAAAAUUUUAUUUAGUCAUGAUUAGAAAGGUAAGUAUCUGAGAAAGGUAGUUAUUUUUUUAGGAAUUUUUUUUUCAAAAAUCAGUACUGCUGAAGUUAAUCGCCAGUGGCUGAAGGAAAAUCUAGACAUAAUUGUAACAUAAUCUGGAAAGGAAAUGGAAAGGAAUUUCACUGCCCUUGAGAAUUUGGCGUCCCUUGAAAUCUUCUGGAGGAGUCCCCAUUUCAGGUCUGGAUAAAAGUCAUGGAAAAGAAUCUGGAUAAGGAAUUUUUUGUUCGAAUGGAAAGUUUCUCGAAAAAAGGAAUAAAAGUAUUGUUUCUGUCUGAUUCCGGUCUUGGAACACUGCAUCUAUAUUGGAUAAAGGUGUUCUGUAUGGAGGGAUAUUUUUGUAAAUUCUAUGGAGGGAAUGUAUUGGAUUAAGGAUAAAAACAUAGUAAGUAUGAGUCCAAUGUAAAUGCAUAGGAUGACGAUUAUUGGCCUGAGUAUUAAGUCUGGUUUUGCAUCUAAAUUUGAGAAAAUAAUUGACUUAUUUAAUAAGAGAACAAUAGGGAUUUACUUGGUAAGUCCCAAUUUUUGAACCCAAGGAAGUAUUUUUGUCAAGCGGGUCUUAUUAUUGAAGCCUAGUGAAAUUUCAAUGUUUUUUUGUAACAAAGAAAAAUAUUUUACAAGGCCUUGUGUAUAUUACAGUAGUCCAUCGUUAACAACUGUUGAUGUUUUUGAACAUUGCGAAUUGCAUAAUUUUUGGUAAUGAUCCAGUCCUCUUGUGCACUAUAAAAUGAUUUUAUUGAAAUGUAUAUAGACAGAUUUAUAGUAAACUUACACCUUUUAUUUUCAGCAGUGUAAAUGACCUAUUGUAAUUAAAUUCAUGAACAGUA
rnacentral:misc_RNA from 1 species